rnacentral:ncRNA from 1 species
CAAAGAUACUAUAUUAAAUGGUAUCGUGACUCAUGCACACAUAAGUGGAUCAAAUCCCACCCCCAUGUCCUCCAAAUAAAAAAUCCCCCGAGGUCUAGAGUAGUUAGUGAGGAAGCACGUUGUUAAGGCACUCUGUAAGUGAAAGUCACUAGUUCAAAACCCCUGGGGACACCUCAAAUCCAAUCAUGUUAAGGCUUGGUGCAGUCCAAGCUGGGUGUGAUUCCUAGGUGACUUUCAUGACUUAGAUGCCCCUGGGUUGUGGCAUCUUAGCCAAGGAAAUCCCUUUCCAAGUCAAAAAGGUUCAAGAUUACCAAAAACAAUUAGUACAGUUGAAUCAAAGUUGGUACAGACAAGGGGAAUCCGACUGUUUAAUUUAAAAAAAGCAUUGUGAUGAUCCCUGUGGAUGUUGAUGCAAUGUGAUUUAUGGCCAGUGCUCUGCAUGUCAAAGUGAAGAAAUUCAACCAAGUGUGGAUAAACUGUGAGAGUAACUAUGGCUCUCUUAAGGUAUCUAUAUGCCUCAUCAUCUAAUUAGUGACACACAUGAAUGGAUUAACAUUAUUCCCAUUGUCCCUAUCUACUAUUUAGAGAAGCCACAACCAAGGGAACGUGCUUGGAAGAAUCAGAAGGGAAAGAAGACCAUGUUGAGAUUGACUCUAGUCCGACUUUGUGAAAUGACUUGAGAGGUGUAGAAUAAGUGGGAGUCAUUUUCGGCACAAGUGAAAUACCACUACUUUUAACGUUAUUUUACUUAUUCCAUGGGGCGGAGACGGGAAAUUGCCCCUAUUUUUGGACAUAAGACAACUUUUGGCGGGUUGAUUUGGGUGGAAGACAUUAUCAAGUGGGGAGUUUGGAUGGGGUGGCACAUCUGUUAAAAUAUAACACACAUUUCCUCAAAGUGUUAUCAUUGAUGGAAAUGGUUGAUAGUUCAUUAUUCAUGCACUUGAUGUCAUUGAUUGUCAAGCAUUGCAAGAUAUAACCAUGAAAGAAAAUUUCGAUGGGUAUUACCAUAAUCAAUUCAUAUUUGUAAGCCACUUUUUUCUCAAAUGCACAUUCAUGGU